AGUGAACGCUGGCGGUAGGCCUAACACAUGCAAGUCGAACGGCAGCACAGUAAGAGCUUGCUCUUACGGGUGGCGAGUGGCGGACGGGUGAGGAAUACAUCGGAAUCUACUUUUUCGUGGGGGAUAACGUAGGGAAACUUACGCUAAUACCGCAUACGACCUACGGGUGAAAGCAGGGGAUCUUCGGACCUUGCGCGAUUGAAUGAGCCGAUGUCGGAUUAGCUAGUUGGCGGGGUAAAGGCCCACCAAGGCGACGAUCCGUAGCUGGUCUGAGAGGAUGAUAAGCCACACUGGAACUGAGACACGGUCCAGACUACUACGGGAGGCAGCAGUGGGGAAUAGUGGACAAUGGGCGCAAGCCUGAUCCAGCCAUACCGCGUGGGUGAAGAAGGCCUUCGGGUUGUAAAGCCCUUUUGUUGGGAAAGAAAAGCAGCAGGUUAAUACCCCGCUGUUCUGACGGUACCCAAAGAAUAAGCACCGGCUAACUUCGUG
rnacentral:rRNA from 1 species